UACGGGGGGGGCAAGCGUUGUUCGGAAUUACUGGGCGUAAAGGGCGCGUUGGCGGUUUGUUAAGUUGGAUGUGAAAACUCUGGGCUUAACCCAGAGCCUGCAUCCAAAACUAGCAGGCUAGAGUUCUGGAGGGGAUAGCGGAAUUCCUGGUGUAGCGGUGAAAUGCGUAGAUAUCAGGAGGAACACCGGUGGCGAAGGCGGCUAUCUGGACAGAAACUGACGCUGAGGCGCGAAAGCUAGGGGAGCAAACAGG
rnacentral:rRNA from 1 species